ensembl:lncRNA
UGAUAGCAUACAUACUGGCAUGACUUUUUGAGCAGCCAUUCAUAACCUAUUUGUCACAAAGCAUAAUUUCAUGAUAGAACUCUGAUUCACAUGCGGUUUUAUUUUUCCAGCAAUAAAACAUUUGAAUAACUCCUUCACGAAGGCUGGCUACAUUUUCACAAUAUCCAAUCCCAAACUAGAGCUUCAGGAAAAGGGAUCCAGGAAAUGAUUAUUCCACCAAGUAAAAUAUGUUCCUGGUUACAUCCUAAUAAACCCACUACAGCAGAACCACUGAGCUAAAUCCCCAGCCCCUGAUGGACUUUUAAAAUCAGUCCAUCCAAGACAGAAGAUGAGAAUGAGAGUCUUGAUAGAAUUAAAAAGAAAAAGUCCCAUGUUGCUUUUGCUAUCUUCCACAGCUGUGAACUGUUGCUCCUCUGCCAUCCUGCCUUGGAGUAAGCAAACUAUGAACUAAAACUUCUACUAAAUGAUUUAAACAAGGAAGAUAAAAAUGUGCACUGCAUUCACAAUAUGAAAAAUCACGAGUGAGGACAAGAGCUGCCCGCAGCACAGAGGGGGUGAAACUUCUGGCCCACUGAACCACCACCCCCAGCUCCCAGGAGGAGACUUCCCCCAGCACAGAGGAGGUGAACUUUCUGGGCUGCCAUGCCACUGCCUCCAGUGCUGAGGAGGUGAACCGCACUGGCGCAAGCAGCACACAACCCUCCCCCAGCCCCACCCCGCCCCAUUGAAAUGAGAAACCGCUUAAACAAGUCUCAAAAUCAGACUCCCAGAUCACCAAAAGCAACCUCAAAAGGAAAUGAGAUGGAACAAUCUGAUACACAACCACCUAGACUCCCUGAACUGGCUACAAAAGAGGAUCUGGAAAAAAUGAAAUCAGAAAUAAUUUCUCAGAUAACAGCAGAGGUUAUGCGCAUAGUGCAAGACAUGAUUAACAAAUCUAGAGAGGAGCUCAGGAACAUGAUGGAAUCCUAACAUAGGAAACAAAUGGAAUCCAUAAAAUAGAUGCAAACAGAUUUCCAGGAGAUGAAAAUCUCCACUGAAAGUUUAUGGAGCAGAAUGAGCCAAUGUGAGGACAGAAUUUCAGAUAUAGAAGAUAAGAUUGCAAUUAGUGACCAGGAAAAGAAAAAUUCCUUUAAAAUUGUAAGGGAGCAUGAGAAAUCAAUCCAGCAGCUGCUAGACAAUGCAAAGAAGAAUAACAUAAGACUUAUUGGAGUCAAUGAAGAAACAGGAGAGAGUGCAGAUGACACAAAAAACUGUUCACAGAAGUGAUGGCAGAAAACUUCCCAAGCAGGGGAAAAGAACUUGACAUACAGAUAAGUGAGGCAUAUAGAACUCCAACUAGCUUUGAUUAAAUAUUGAUCUUCUGGAUAAAUCUGUAAGUUUUGUCCAGUCCAUAGACCUUUUCCUCUACAAAAUACAAUGGAAAAUCUGUGAUAGAAAUAUAUUAUCCAAUAAGCUUUGAUUUGGAGUCAACCCUCCCAUGAUAAUAUUUCAAUAAGAAAAAGUAAAUAAGAUAAAUCAUAUAAGAGGAAGAGGUGACAUUUCAUAUCAUUAUUUGCAGGCACCAGGUUUUCAGGUAGAUACUUCUCAGUCUCUUUCUCAUUUAAUAAUUUAAUGAAAGAAGAUCUUUUUUUUAGGAAGGUAAACUCAGUGUGAUAGUCAAGAUCCCAGAUAAUAAGUUAAGGCUAUUAUUUCUCAUAUCCUGUUGAAAUAUAAUGCAGAUGGUAUGGAAACCAGAGUCAAGGAAUCAAAAGAAUAUUCAAAUGUAGGGACAUCAAUAUUUUAAGUCUUAAUGACAGAGCAUAUGUUCUUUGCUCCUCUUCCUUUGUAUAGUCAACAUGAAAUAAUAGUCAUGGAGAAGGUAGGUUUCCCAUCUCUACUAAGGUGCUCAAUUUAUUUUGUUGUUUGUAUUUAUUUUUGAGAGGUGCUGCCUGAAUGGGGAUUUUGUUCAAUAUCAUAGGAACUUAUUUGUUGUAUAGUAUUUCACAGAAUAAAAAGCUCUUAGAGUGAAAAAAAAAAAGAAUUUAAGGAAAAAAGAGAGUGAGAGAGAUUGAAGAUGAUAUCAGAAAAUGGAAAGACAUCCCUUGGUCUUGGGUAGAAAGAAUCAACACAGUGAAAAUGGCCAUACUUCCAAAAUUGCUAUAUAGAUUCAAUGCAAUCCCAAUUGAAAUCCCAGAAGCAUACUUCAUGGACCUUGAGAAAACAAUCCAAAAAUUCAUUUGGAACAAGAAGAGACCUAGAAUAGCAAAAGCAAUUGUAGGCAACAGGGAUAUGGCAGGAGGUAUCACAACUCCCAACUUGAAACUAUACUACAAAGCUACUGUGAUAAAACAGCAUGGUACUGGCAAAGAAACAGACCUGAGGACUGGUGGAACAGAUUAGAAGAUGCAGAAACAGUUCCAGAUACACUCAGCCACCUCAUCUUAGACAAAGGAACCAAACACCCUCACUGGAGGAAAGAUAGCCUCUUUAAUAAAUGGUGCUGGGAAAAUUGGGUUUCAACUUACCAAAGAUUAAAACUAGACCUAUAUCUCUCACCAUGCACUAAACUAAAAUUGAAAUGGAUUAAAGAUCUAAAUAUUAAAACAGAACUGGCUGGAACAGAACUCUUGAAGGUAGAACUCUUGAAAACAUUGGUGUAGGAAAAGAUUUUAUGAACAAAACCUCAGUUGCCCGUGAACUAGCACAGACAAUCAACAAGUAGGAUCUACUCUUAUCAAAAAUCUUCUUUACAGUAAGAGAAACCACCAACAGUGUGAAGAGACAACCCACAAUGUGGGAAAAAUUUUUCACCUACAGUUCCUCAGACAGAGGUCUACUAUCUAGAAUCUAUAAAAAACUUUUAAAAAAUCAGACCUCCCAAAUUCAAAGACCCAGUCCAAAAAUGGACAUCUGAAAUGAACAGACAUUUCUCAGGCAAAGAAGUAGAAAUAGCAAAUAAACAUAUGAAAAAAUGUUUAACAUCACUGGUCAUUCGAGAGAUGCAAAUGAAAACAAAGCUGAGAUUCUACCUCACCCCAGAAGGAAUGGUUAUCAUGAAAUCAACCAAUAACAAAUGCUGGCGGAGCUGUGGGGAAAGAGGAGCCCUGCUCCACGGCUGGUGGGAGUGUAGACUGGUGUAACCACUGUGGAUAUCAGUAUGGAGAUACCUCAAAGGACUAGGACUGGAAGUCCCAUUUGACCCCACUAUUCCCCUGCUGGGGAUCUUCCCCAAAGAAUUAAAAGAAUCAUACCACAGUGAUAUAUGUGCACCCAUGUUCAUAGCAGCACAAUUUGUAAUAGCUGAAACUUGGAAGCAGCCCAUUUGCCCAUCAACUGGAGACUGGAUAAAGAAAAUGUUGUUUUUUUAUAAAAUGGAGUACUACUCAGCCAUAAAAAAUGAGAAAUUAGAGAGAUUUAUUGCUAAAUGGAUGUACAUUGAAGUGAUACUCUUAAGUGAAAUAAAUAGGACACACAUGUGUAAAUACCGAAUAGUUUCUCUAGUGUGAGAAACUGAAAAUGUGGGUAAGAACUAAAAGGUAUAAUAGAUAAUGUGAAAUAGGAAGAAAAGGGACAAGGGGGAAGGGGAAAUUGGAAGGGUAGGGGAUAGGGAAGAAGGAAAUGGAAUUAAUAUGAGAAAUUGAAGAAAAGGAAACAAAGUCUUUGUAAAUAGGGAGGGAUGGAGGGGUUGAAGGGAGGGCAGAGGGAUGGGGAAAAAAUAACCAAGAGAGAUUAUGUAAAGGUACAAAUUUCCAAUGAUGAAUGUCAUUAUAUUGUAUACCUAAAAUGUAUGAAUAAAAUUAAUUUUAAAAAAGAAUUAGAAAGAAAAAGGUAGCAGGAGAAAGAAACAGAAUAAAUUAAUAGUAUGAGACAUUCUUGCUGGACUGGUUAUUUAUAAUGUGAUUUUCCGAGAGAAUGACAGCCAGCUGAAUGAGAGAAAAUAUAAAAUCACUAAAUUUAAACACUGGUAUUGGAAAAUUGGAGACAAAAUGUAAACAAGCAUUUUGCCUAUUUCAUGUUUAUCACAUAAUCACAGCACUACCAUAUUUGGAGUAAAUAGCCUAAUAUUUGAUACAAACGUGACUGAUAUUUAUUAUAAUGUUUCGGAUAUGUAUAUUCAUAAAGCAAGAUUUUUAUCUGCUUGUCUUAUCCAAAAAUGAAUCUGAUGGAUGGUUUCCAAGCUGUAAUUUGGGUUUAUAAGAACGUAAAUACCACAUUAUAAUUGCGUUCCCAGUAGCCUUUAAGCUCAUGGAGAUUAGGCAUGGCUGAUGCCAGGCAACCUCAGGAGCCCUGGAGACAGAACUGCUCACUCCACAUUCCCAUGGGCCUCCCAUUCCUGAGAGUAUAUUUCAAGAUGUGUUUCUGUGAGGCUCAGAGACUUUACAGUUUUCUAGGGCCUUCCUCGAAGGCACCGUGCUUAUGCCUAAUGGAGGUUAAUGAUGUAACUGGUGAGAAUAUGAGGUUUCAACAGGAGCCCCAAGGAGAGACACCUUAUGCCCAACAUAUCUGUGCACCAAAAGCCUUCUCAAGGUAAGUGGUCCACUGGCCAUGAAGCAUGAGGGAUGAAUAGCUACUUCUCAGGGGAACAGAAGGUCAGGAAAAGGAGCAGUAGUCCAAGCAAAGGUGACUUGAAUGGCUAGGCAGGAGUUUAGUGAGGGUGAUAGGGCAUGUCCAGAAGAACUGGACAGAGAGAGCCAGAUGGAAAAAGUGAAAACUAGGGCUAGAGCUAGGGAGUAACCCUAACAUGAAGGGCCUAUGCAGAAGGUUAGAUUUUAUCUCAAGGAUGUUAUGCACUGAAUUGUAUCCCCUCAAACUCAUAUAUUGAAAGCUUAAUAGUUUAGUACUUCAGAAUGUGGCUGUAUUUAGAAAUAGUGUCCUUAAAGAGGUAAUUAAAAUGAGAUCAUUACUGUGGGACCUAACUCAAUGUGACUGAGGUCUAUAGAAGAAGAGAUGAGGAGGCAGAUACACAGAAGGGAGAAGUUGGCUACAACUACACAGCAAGGAGAUAGUCCUCAGAAGAAACUGGCAUGUUCAGUUCUGGCCUCCAGAACUGUGAGAAAAUAAAUUUCUGUGGUUCAAGUAAUCUAUAGUAUGUUAUUAUGGGAGCCCUAGGAAACUUCUGAGAAAGGAUCAGGCAAGGAGAGGAUAGUUAACUUUAUCUCAUUGAAAAUUCCCUCUGGCCUAUGAGCAAAAUGAAUUGAGGGAGAUAAGUCUGGAGACAACAGGUUCUGAAGCCACUGUAGUACCAUGAGUAUAACCAAGGAUUGCAGCUACCAUGGAAUUGGGGCAGACUGAGUGCAGCAAGCUGUGGGAGGUGCCUUCUAAACAGAUAACAUAUACUGUGUGUCUAUAGGUUGUACAAUACAUACUGUGUAACUGCAAGCCUUCAUGAUAGCACCCAGAAUAAGAGAUAAGUAAAGGAAUCAAAAGAAAGUCAUAGACUGGAGAGAUAUUUAGAGAAUACUCAAUUGUAUUUGAAGCCUGGUUGGAUGCUACCAGUGAGGAAGAGGAAGGACCAAAGGAUGAAGCUGUGUGCAGCCCUGGGCAGCUAGAGAGGUGAGGCACUUGGUGACUAAGAAACCAAGGAGGAAGAACUGGAUUGGAGAGGACUGUUUGUUUUGGCUACAGGUUUGAGGAACCAAAUGAAGAUAUCAAGUGAACAUUUUCAAUAAGAAGUUGGGUAUAUGAAGAUAUGGAUUUUCGUAUACUUCAUGAUUUAGAGGACUCUCUAUUUUAACCCAGGGGGGUUGAUAAGAACAGAAGGAAUAGUGUGUAAAACAAGAAAACAGCAUACAAGAAAUAAGCCCUCCUGAUAUCAAACUUCUAAGUUAGAGGCUCAGUAUGGGACUAUAGAGUGCAUGAGAAAACAGUUUUGCCAUUCCCUUCCCCUAUUCUACUCAGCCACUGCUUCUAAGUCCAGAUAACUCUUCAUAUCCAGCUCUAUGAGACUUGGGGAUCCCUGAAUGCUGAGAAAGUGUGAGCAUGGAGUGAUCUCAUUCACCCAGAAUCCACUAGGUACCUAUCAUAGGUAGUAUGUUGGUCAAUAAAAACAGUGAUGUUGCUUCCCAUUUUCAGAACAGUAAGAUGCUUAUAUUGUUGUAUUCCAUCAAUAGUUCUAGCAGCAGCAAGGAAGAGCAAGAUUAAAUUUUUGCCAGUAUCCCAGGGGAAAUCAGAAGAUCUCCUCUCAACAAUUUCCUAUACCUGUCUUGGUGAAAGAAUUUAAUUACCUCAGAUUCAGAAGGAAAGCAUAAUUCUGCAAAGUUCACUUUAGAUCUUCACUGGUCCUAUGCCUCUAGAAUGCCUUUUAUUUUUGUAUAUCAGGAAUCUUUCAAGUUAUAUUUUCUUCCCUCUCUCAGGGUUCUAAAUGUCAAAGAAAAAUAUUUUUUGAGUUUUGAAGGGCUCUUUCUAACACAAUUCUCUGACUCCUUAAGCAGGAUAUAAUGAGCAAAAUCCAUCUGUCAUUUACUUCCUGAAUUAGGUCACUAUUAUAAGUAUCAGUUAUUGAACAGAGUCAACACAUGGUGAUGUCUCAUUGACCAGAGCUUAAAAUAGCUGUGGAUCAAUACUCCCUCAGUUUGUCUUUUUUUUUUUUUUUUGACACUAACCAUUCUGAUAAGAAUCAUCCUUCAUAUAAAGGCUAGAAUGUAAGAUUUACAAGCAUGGGAGACUCUGGAAUAUCUACAAUGUGUAUAAAAUAAGAGAAAAUUGGGCUGGGGAUUUAGCUCAGUAGUUCCACCACCUGCCUUGCAAGUGCAAGGUCCUGAGUUCAAUCCCAGUACAAAAAAAAAGAAAGAGAGAGAGAGAGAAAAUGAACUCUUUGUUGAGGUCUUUGCAUGAAACUUUGGGCAUAGCUACAGAAAAUCUAUUUAGAUCUACAGAGAUCCUGUCAUGUAUUUUUGCCUUCUCCUGAAUUCAUAGCUGAAGUUGCAAGUUGGAAAAAGUAAACACAAAGUCAUUCUCUUCCUCCUUUAUUGUCACAUGUGAUCAAAUGUUCACCAUAAUGUAGCUGAAGGUGGUCCUUUGCAACUCAUAGUCCUGUGCUUGUUAUUUAUCUGAGUUGGAGUUCAGACAAUGGUAGUUAUCAUUCACUCUCCAAUUAUCUUGUCCCAUCCCUUAUAGUUAGUGGGAGACAUGGUUUUAGAAUUACGCUUUUAAGAAAGACAAUCUGAGGCAGGAAAUGUGUUCAUGGGAACCACAGCUAAAUCCUUGGCUUGUGCAUUCCUGCGGAGACUCCUUGGGGUCACCAGAAAGCAAUGAAUAGAACACAGGAAAGAAGGUUUAAUUUUUUCUUGAGCUCAAAGUACUAUAAUUUGCUAUAGAUGUAGAUGGAACCCCAUUACCAACCCCAGUCUGGAGAUAGUUAAGCAACACCUUCUAACUAAAGAUAUAUUCAAAUCCUUCUGGGAACCUGGAAUCAGAUUAUCUUGACAGUCUAAAAGAAUUCUUUAAACAUGAAAAUCACCAUUUAUGUUGAUGUUUGACUUAUGAUGGCAGUUUGUUCAGUUUAGUAAUUCCAUCAAGAAUGAAAACUUCUUAUGUAAUAUAUUAUAGGAAAGCAAGAAGGUUUACUCUUUUGGCAGGUAAAAAGAAGAAAGUAUCCAGCCAUGAUCAAGAAGCCAACAAUCCUGGAAAGAGCUGUAAAAUCCAAUUUGAAAGCAGUGAGAAGUCCAGAAUGAAUCAUCUAAACAUGUUAUUGUGAAAGAAUGGUGACGUGGAAGGACAGAGUAGACUCAAAUGGGAGAAAAAAGUUAAGGUAGUUUCUCCUAACUCUAGGUCAUUUGAUUCUAAUGCAUUCCAAGGGAUAUUCCAAGUUCUUUUAUUUUUUUUUACCCUUCUUCAACAUAAUUUUAGUUGAAAUGAGAAAGCAACUAGAAAGGCUUUGUUUAUAAAGAUGUGACAAAAUUCUAUCCAGUCUAGAGAGAGAAAAGAGAAAUUCCACAAGUGGAAAUUCUAGGAAACCUACUCUACAUAGAUGUUUGUGUCAUCACUCAACAUUCACCUGCCUUUGUUUUUUAAUCAUAUUUUCACAUGGAUAAGCUACCUAAAACACAGCCAGGUAUCUUUAUUAGGUGUAGUGAGAUUUUAUGUCCAGUACUUAUAAAUCAGGUAGGGGAGGGCAGAGCUGACCGUUCAAAGUCCAUUCUCUUGCAAUGCCUCAAGCAGUGUUUCUCAACUAUCAUCUACAUAAAGAUCUCCCAGAAUAUGUGAAAAUUCAGAUUCUGAUUCAGAAGGUCUAUGGUAGGGCCUGAGAUUUCACAUUUCCAUAUGACACUGAAGCUGCUGGUCCAAGUUACCCUUUUCAGUAAGUUGACUGUUCCUGUCAUGUCCUGUAGAUGGAGAAAAAUCCCAUUGCCAUUUCUCAUUUAGAGCUGUAAGAGAAGCCCAUCAUCCACAGAAGCAAUGAGUCUUCUUUGUAGUGCAUGGGUUUAAUUCUAGGCUCCUUGCAUUUGAUAUAUGAGCCUUAUAUAUGAUCACCAAUAUUUAAUAAAGAAAGAUGGGAAUAUACUUACAUAAUCCCCAUUAUUUGUCACAAAAUGAUAUGUUGAAAAAUACUGAAUUUGCUUAGAAGUCUUCAGUUACUGGCAAAUUAUCCAUAUUAAGCUUCUCAUUUCAAAUAUGCUUUACCAAAAAACUUGAAAAUUGUAUCCCAUCAUUUCAUAGAAAAGAGAGCAUUCAGUUGGGAUUCAGAAGACUUGAAACCAGUUCCCAGCUCUGCUAUUCACUCAUUAAGGACUUUGAGAAGCAUAUUCUACCUUUCUGAGGUCCAGAUGGAGUAUGAACAGAAUUGAUUAGAUACCUCUCUGAGAAUCUUUUUAGUUUUCAUGUUCCAUCCAAUACAGAAUAUACGGAAACAUAGCUUCUCACCAAUUAUUUGGAAGUUGCCUCAUUAGGGGUUGGGAUUAGUUGGAUACCAGCAGUAUCCAUGGCUUCACAUCGAUGGGAACAGAGAGGCGAAUGUGUAGUGGAUGCAGACUGUUGCUUUGAAGUCAGAGAGAGGUGGGUUCAAAUCCUGAGUCCUUGUGUCAUAUGAGUUACAUGGUAUUACAAAAAUGACUUUCUGUGUCUGAGUUUCAGUGAUACCAUCUGUAAAAUCUGAUCUAUAAAAUGUGUAAGAAAACAGAAUGGCUUCAUUGGAAUAUUACCAGUUGAGUAAUCAACUCUUCUGGGUUGCCUGAAACUGAGAAGUUUCCCAGAAGGUGGGACUUUCAAAAGCAGGAUAGUCCUAGGCAAGCUGAGAUGGCUAUCUACCCUAAAUUUACAAGUGCCACCUAAGUUAAGCCUGUAAAUCACUUCAAUAUGUAUUAGACAUGAUUACUAAGAAUAUAUAAAUAUAGGGGAGUUCAGGGUGACUUUUUAUUCAAGCAGUGUACAAUCCAAAAUUGUCUUGCCAAAUCCUGAUACUUUAAAGAGUAUAUGGUUUUCCUUCCUGAAUAAAAGGACUGUAAAUGUGACAUAUCAAGCAGUACAAAAUGGCUACCCUUUUGCAACAUAACAUCUUGAAUCAAAAGAUGAUGUCGUCUCUCAGUGACUGGCCUGCAUUAAGGGAUUCUGAUGCAGCUACAGGCUGAUAAUGGUGGUGUUCAACAAUCCUAUUGGAUGAGGCUCCAGUCAGGAAUGUGAGCAGCUGUCCUUUCUAAACCCCAUGUCACAUGCUGAGGCUAUGCCAACAUCCUUCUUUUCCAUCAAAACAUUCCAGAUCUCAUCCUUGUCAGGUCGUAUACAGAUAUGUCUCCUAGGAUUAGCAUAAACCCUGUCUCUUGCUAUUGUCUCAGGAAUUUGGAGAUUAUCUUUCUAGAAUGUCUCAUGUAUGCAAUUCUGCACAGAAAACUGAAGAAAACUUAGGAAUCAAAUUCUCUUCAUAUGGAUUCCACUAGACUAUAACCAGUUUUGCUUUGAGAGCUUUCUUCUUCUCUUCCUUUCUAAUCUCUGCCCACUUGAACUAUCCAGGCAUACGGUCUCUGAUGGAUCAAUCACUAUUAACCACCUCCCUCCCAACUCUGCCUUCUAUGAUUCUAAAACCUUAGUAAAUGUCAGCAAUUAGAGAACCUAAAAAUGGAGGUAGACAAGAUGCCUCUGAGAUCUGCAAAGCCUUACAAUAACUUGGUAUUAAGUGCUGAUUGAGUGGGCCUUUGGAUGUGUACUCUGGUUCAUUAGGGAGGCAGGUGAAGACUAGAGUGUGUCUGGGGAAAGUGUAGAUACAUACAGACAUACAGGUUGUGAAGUCUGUUAGCAGGAAGGAAACAUCCUAGGACUCAGAAAGUUUUCCUGUGUAUGUUCUCCAUCAUUCUGAAGACCCAGAAGCUCUAAAUUGGUCCAAUGCUCAUUCUAGAUUUUUGGCAGAAAGCCUGGUCCUACAGUGGAUAUGGAUGCCCCACAAAGUCAGGAAUGUUAAAGGGUUAGUCCCCAGACUGUGCCACUAUUGAAUGGUGGUAAAACAUCUAAGAGGUAGGACCUAGUGGGAGGUCUUUCAAGUCACCGAGGGUGUGCUUUUCAAAAAAUGAGACCCCAGCACCUUCUUCUUUCUCUCUUUUGUUUCCCAGCCAAGAGAUGGCAUCUUUGCCUCACCACCUACUCUCACCACAAUAUGCCACCUUGGGAAUAAAGUGAUGGGAACCAACCAAUCCUAGACUGAGACCUCUGAAACUGUGAACAAAAUAAACCUCUUCUUUUUAUGUUGAUUAUCUCAUUAUUUUUUACAGUAGGAAAAAGCUAACUAACAUAGCAUCUGAAAAGUAUUGUCAAUAUGUCUGAACUUCUUACCAACAUUAAUAGUAGAUUCUGGGGUGCUCUAAUACUUUGGGGCAUGUGGCACCAUGUAUAAAAUUCAAAGACAAGCAUCCUUUCUUUUGGGAUGAAAAUUAAAAUUCUAAAAGUUUAGAUAAAAUUCCUGAAUCAAGACAAAACUAGAUCAGAGAACCAUGUUCUUUUUCUCAUAUUUCAAGAGAGAAAAACAGAUAAUGCUGUGUGGCAGGAGUUCUUGUUUCACUGACCUAGAGGAAAACUCAGAUCUUGAUUCAGAAGAGAAAGGGUAGCACUACUAAGAGAUCUGUGGUUUGGUUACUUGUGUAGUCAGGCAUACCCUUGAUAAUCAAAAUAUGAACUUGGGAAGCCUAUUUUCUUACUCCAUAAAAACACCAGAUAAAACGUCAAGGAUUAAGAUUGAACCUCAGUGAAAAUUUGUAUGCUCUCUUUUUAUCUUAAUAAUAAAAAAGGAGAUUUCUCAUAUCUGGGACACAUCUAAAUUUUGUUAGAUUUGGAAUUAGUUUGAAUCUAGUCUUUACUAUCGUUUUUUCUUAAUCCAUAAAGAAUGAUUCAUUUGGCUGCUGUUUCUUAUUUCAUUGAACUUCUAACCAUCGCAUGGCACUAUUUGUAAGAAUAUCUAUCGUUUUAUACUGCCUGAGAGAUAAAGCCCCAAAUCUUCACAUUAAAGACUUUCAUAAUCUUCACCAGUUUUCUUUUCAGUCUCAGGUCUUUAUUGUCUAGAAGCACCCAAUUACCUAUUAGUUGCCACCCAGAGCCUAUAUUUUCUUCCCGCUGUCCAUUCAUUUACCCUGAAAAAUCAUCUUCUCCAUGAAGCUUUCCAAACAUGGGCACUCCAGGCAGAAUGAAUCACUUUUUUCUGCUCCCAGGACCUUCUGCCCCAAGUUCUCUGCUUCCAAUACUGGCCCAUCAUAGAUCCCACUGUACCAUUUAAGUUGUAUGCAUGACUCUCUUGCAAUGUUGGCUAUGAUAAUCAUGAGUACAGGGACUACAUCCAUUCCUUUUUAUACCUCAGGCAUUUAACAUACAGCAUGACACAUGGUAGAUGUUCAACAAAUCUAAACAGAAAAAAAAUUUAAUUAAGAAAUUCUCCAUUGUAUCUGGAAAUAUGGAGGAAGAAUUGUCCUCUAAGUAGUGGAUACUUCUUUCAUCUGUUUUAACUGUAUAAUCUUACUUAACUGGUUGUAAAAUGAAGAGUACUAUAAAUCUUGUAAGACUAAAUCUUUUCAGUUUAGGAUGGCUGGUUAAGCACAUGUUUUUGAUCCCCUUCUCCUCCCAAAGGUCCAUGGAAAAAUUAGCAAAAAAAUCUCCAUAUGAAAACAACUCAGAGGAAUUUCUGCUAAAUACAGUACAGAUGCAAGAAGUUAGAUGGAAUCCACCCAUAGUUUUAAGACAUGCAAAGCAGCCCCCACCUGAGCCAUAAACUGGAAAAGCUUCUCUCAGAGAGUUCCAUUAAAGCUCCCUGAACAAAGGUGUUGGUGAGCCAGUCUAUCCAGUGUGCUAAAAUAUUGCUGGAAUAAAUGGAAAAGUUGAGAUCAAUUGACAACUUUUAAAGCCUUGAGAAAGGUGUUAAAGGGCAAUUUGAAUGAACAAACUGCAUGAAAAAAAUUGACAAGAGGAAUUUGAAUGCAGGCUAGAUAUUUAACAAUUUUAAGUAAUUAUGGUUACUUUUCUUGCAUGUAAUAAUGGUGUGUUGGCUCUGUCACUAUGGAAAUUCCUGAGAGAAUCAACUAAAAAAGCAGGAAAGGUUUAUUUUGGCCACUGUUUCAGAGAUUUCAAUCCAUGGUUGUUUGACCCUGUUGCACACAGAACAUCAUGCCAGCACAUAUGGUGAAGAUCUGUUCACCUCAUGGUGACCAAGGAGUAAAGAGAGAGGCAGAAGAGCAGCCAGGGUCUUGAUAUAUGUAUAUUUCCUUCAAGGUCAUGCUCCCAGUGACCUAUCUUCCUUCCACUAGGCCCUACCUCCUAAAGGUUCUACCACCUCCCAGAGGUGCCAUGGGCUGACGACCACCUUCAGUGCUUCCUACUGUUCUCAGCACAAGAAAGCUGUGAUGUGCCUCAUAGAGAAAUUAUCUGCUUUAGAUAAGCUUCCUCCAGAUGUUAGUAAAUAGUGCUGUUGGCUGUGAAUUCAAUGUUAGUGAAACAAUAAUAUAAAUUAAAUAGGGGCCAAUCAGUUGACAAAAAUGUUGCAGCCAGAGGCUCUCAGGAAAUUAACCCUGUAUUUUCCCGAGGAUCGAUGAUUUAGUAUUCACUAAUUCAGGACAUAACUACCAUGAAUAAUGAAGAUUAAUGGUAUUCAUGGAUAAAAUAUAAGGCAGAAAUUUAUCACAAAAUAAUCUUGGGGACUGGAAAUAGGAAUAUAAAUGAAACCAACUGGCCAUGAGUAAAUUGUUAAAGGUAUGUGAUGAGUGCCUGACUGUCCAAUAUACUGUUCUCUCGACUUUUGUAUAUAUUUAAAAGUUCCCAUAACAAAAAGCUUUUGUUGUUAAAAGAAAGAACAGUACAGCAGAAACAUAAGUUCGGGUUUUCUACAGGCAUUAAAAAAAUCAUCUAAUGCAUUAUAUAAAGAAAUAUAAUUAUUUAGAAGUAGAAUGAAUUAAAUUUCAUGUUAAGUAUAAAUGAUCCAGUGCCAUGUAAAGUCAGUGUAUACAAAUCCGCAAAAGCAAAAGACAGUGAACCCGUGUGGGCAUUACAAAUUGUAAGGUAAUACAGAAACUUGCAUGUCAUUUUUAGAAAGUGAAAAGAAAAAGGCAAGAGACAUCUAAAUAAAAGACUAUGCUCUACCAUUCACCUGUAAUAAAGUUCAACUUCUAACGUCUGUACUUGUUUAUCCCAAUAAUAAACCUGCUUCAGGCCCCUGGGAGGCUCCACUCGCCUCUACUCCCAGCUCACUUUGUGAGUUUGUAACAGGUCAAGGCCAUGGUCUCAUGCUCUAUUAUAUCCCCUAUCUUUUCCUACUGUAAUGCUUCAACUUGCUCUCAAGCUUUCUGACUAGCUCAACAGUUAAUUUUGCCAAGCCAAAGCCUUUAGAUCACUCUAUCCUUACAUAUGUUCUAUAACAAUGUUUUCUAAGUGUUUUCUGAGCAGAUCUAGAGCUUCAGAGAGAGUCCAAGAGCCCAAAAAGUAGGGAGAGCUAAAGUGUCCAGGGUUGCCAGGGCAACACAGAACAGCUCUGCUUUUGUGUUCCAUAUUUUGGGUUUUGCAAAGGAUUUUUUAGAGAGAAAACUUGUUCAGCUUCUUAGGGAGAACAAUUGAAUAAGCUAAUCUCCCAAGAAACAUUAUGAUGGGGCAUGUAGGGGCCUGAUAUGUAUGUGUGUGUGUAUAUAUAUGUAUAUAUAUAUGUGUAUAUAUAUAUAUACACAUACAUACAUGUAUAUAUAUAUAUAUAUGUAUAUAUAUGUGUAUAUAUAUACAUAUAUAUACCUUCUAGCUGUUUCCAAAGGAUCCCAACUUCCUCCAGGUGAAUGAUUCACAUUUACUUGGCAUCUUUCAUUCUAUUUUCUUUUUUAUAAAAGGCUCUUUUUCAACCCAAAUCAAUUUUUUUCUCUGAAAUGCUCAGAAAUGGCUACAUCUUUUGCAGAGUGCUGUAUGUUAUUUUAAUCUUUAGCUUGAGAAAUUUUAAGAACUCCAAAAGAUUUUUGAGUUAUCAUUGCCAUGACUAUUUCUUCAGAGCCUUUUGUAUGUGAAUCAUUGCACAGAUUACUUUACAUUUAUUUUUCUAUUUAUUGAUCUCAAUAAACUUGCAAAAGAGGUACUACAUUCCCCAUGCCUCAGGGAUAGCAAGUGACAGACACCUAGAGCCACAGAGGCUCACAGAAGCCAAGUGAAAGAAAUGUCUGCUAAAGCCUGCCUCUGGAAUGAAGUUGCUAUGAACACCUGUGUGCAGGUUUUUGUGUACAUAUCAAUUUUCAGUUUCUUUGGGUAUAUACCACAGUAUUCAACUACUGUAUAAUAUGAUAAGAGCUUGAUUUUGCUAUGGUGUUUCAGUAUAUUCAUCAAGAGUUUAUUUGUUGGAAAUUUAAUUCCUCAGGCAACAGUGUUGGAAGGUGGGUCUAGAAGAAAGUAUUUGGGUCAUAGGGAUGGAGCCAUUGUGAAUGGAUUAGUAUGUUUCUCUUGUAGAUGAAAUUUCAUUCAAUCUCUGCCAAAGAAAAAAGUUUCCCUUUGAUGUUGUUCAUUAAAAUUAAGCAUGAGUUCCAUGUCUGUUAUAAGAAAUAAGUACAAGGAGUGUAAGGCUCUGAGCCUAAACUGGGGUAAAUUAGUUGUGUCCCUCUGGCUCUGUGGUGCACAACACUCAAGAGAAACAAGAAUGCACUUUCUGGAUGACACCUGCAGCAGCUGGUUCUGCCUGCUCUCACCACGUCCCUGCCCUCAAGAAGGGUUCACAGUGGCCAUGUGCAUUUAGCUAAUCUCGGUGUUAUUUUCUCCCAUGCUCUGGACAGCUGACACCCUUGACAAUGAUAGCAGAAGUAGGUUCCCAAACAGUGCUGUCUAUGGUCCUCUCAAAGAAUCUGGUAAAUGGAUGAAAGCCUUCCUUAUCAUUGCUUUUCCUCAGGCAAGUUAGACAGAGGUGUGUAUGCUGCUGAGCAAUCUCAGCCAGGGACAGAAAGUCUAGAGGAACCAAAUGGCCACAGGCUGAAAAGCAUCUCAAGUGGGCCCUGUGCUCCUGGGACCAGGAAGGACACAAGUUCAGGGGAGGUCAGGGAACAAAUUCCUCUGAGUCUGUGCAUGUGGGAGCCCCUCUACACCCACAUUUGGACAGCCAUGUGCAAAAAUCAAAAUAUCUUAGUGUAUGCACCACAUUACUGAAAUGAAUAAGACUGAAGGAUUUAAGAUCAAAAGAAUAGAUUUGAUUAGGGUGAGUGGCAUAAUGCUUGUUUUCUUUUAUUAAACUGUUUUAAUAAUUUUCUCUAAUUAAAAGUUGUAAAACAAAAAAGAUUGUCUUCUUGCACUGCUGGACAUUGGAAUGGGCUCUCAUAUAUGCUGUGCAAAUGCUCUACCACUAAAGCUACAUCCCCAGCCCACUGGCACUUUUUUAUUUAAGGCCAAUCUUUCAACUCUUCUGACUUUCCCAGGAUCCCCCAUGAACUUGGAAGAAGGUAAAUCCAGAAGUAGUUUGCCCAGGCCUGACUUCAACUAGUCUCCUGAACUAAGGCCCAAGAGGAUGUUAUUCCACCUUAAAAGACAAGGAAAUCCUGUCAUUUGUGACAACAUGGAUGGAACUGGAGGAUAUUUUGCUAAGUGAAAUAAACCUGAUACAGAAAGAUGAAUACUUCAUGAUCUCACAUUUAAGUGCAAUAUAAAAAAAUCAAACUCAUAGAAAAAAAAAGAAGAAUAGAAUGGUGGUUAUCAGAGGCUGGUAAGAAAAUUGAGGAGAUGUUGGUCAAAGAGUACAAAGCUUCAGAAAAAAUAAAUUCAAAUGAUCUAAUAUACAAGAUGGUGACUAUAAAUAACAAAGUACCGUUUACUUGAAAAUUGCUGUGAAUAGAUGUUCAGCAUUGUCACGAUAAAAUAUUAGUUUGUCAUAUAAUGCAUAGUGUCAAAUUAAUUUAUCCUUUUCACAAUCUAUACAUAUUUUAAAAUGUCAUGUGUAUACCAUAAGUAUGUAUAAUUUUUAUUUGUCAAAUUUUUCAUUGCUACUUAUUAGUAACACAGAAUAAUGAGGCUUAUUUUGAUAUAUUGGUACAUGCAUAUAACAUCUUUUGAUUAUUUUUAUCCCUAUUACUCCCCUCUCCCUUUCUUUCCAUCUCCCUCAAUCCAGUUUCCCAUCCUAAAAGUGUACCUUUUAGCUUGUCAAUUUUUCUGAAAAGCCUCAUAAGGGUAAAAAAAAUGUGCCUACCUUGUUCACCAAGUCACCCCAGAACCUCAUUCAGAAGGGACACUCAGAAAAUACUUACUGAAUAAAAAGCCAAGGUCAUGUAGCAAGUCACAGUCCAAACUAAAUGACAGGAGAACAUCGCAGAGAACAAGACCUGUAUGUGUCAGGCAGAAGCAUGAGGUUUUAGAAAAUGAGGCCCUACAGGCAUUUCUGGAGUCAUUCUAGGAAGGAGGAAUACUGUCCCCCAAAGGUCAAUGUAUGGCUUGGCCCCAGCUUGUGGUGCAACUGGGAGGCGAUGGAACAUUUACGAAGUGGAACAUAGAAGGAAAUUAGGUCACUGGGCAUGUGCAAUUGGAGGAGAUAUUGGACCCCAGCCCCUCCUCUUUCUUUUUUGCUUCCUGGCUACUGUGAACACCCCACCACACAUUCCUGCCACCAUGUUUUACUAUGCCUCCACAGACCCCAAACAAUGGAACCAAUCAAUCAUGAACUGAAAUUUCUGAAACUAUGAGCCAAAAUAAACCUUAGCUCCUUAUACAUUGACUUUCUUAUGUAUUUUGUCAAAGCAACAGAAAGCUGGCUCACGGCUCUUAACUAACAGAUGCAUCUUCCCUGAGUUUUGCCAACUCAUCCCUGUCUCUUGGUCAUUUAAUGUGAACAAUGAGCAGAAGGGACAAGCAAACAAACAGCUGAUGGUUAUGGUUAUGAGAGAAUCAAGAGAAAAAUAGAAAGCAAAUCAUUUCUUUUGACCUUGCAGUCAAAUAGCAUCUUUCCACCCUCUGGUGUCCCACAUGAUAGCUACAGUGUUUUCAGGUAGAAGCCAAAGAAGACUCCCUCUGCUCCUCCAGAAGGAAUAGUACAGCUCAUUCUGAUGAGAAACUUCCUGACCAUCAGUGCUACACAUAGAAUGGGACUGCUUCAAGAAGCUGGGUCCCUGUCCAGCCUGAAGGACCAUAUCUCUGUUGUAAUAGAAAACUCUCCAUUUGGAGGGCACUUAAAACUGAUUAUCUACCUUUUACUAACAAUACACCUUUGUAAGUGGAGCCAGAAUCUACAGCUGACACCAGUUGGCCUGUCCCACCAAGGCCAAAUGGAGCAUGUGUGUGUCCCCUAGAAAUGUAUAUGGUCCCAUCUCUGGACCACAAAAUCAGAUGUCCCUUGUGCCUUGGAUAUGGGGUGGCUAUAUAAUUUAUCAUGCAAGAUUAGAACACUUUGCAAGUAAAAGGAGACAACAACAAUUACAGAGAUACAACCGAGCAGACAGGGAGGUAUAGCAAUUGUAAUUAAAAUGCACUGUUGGGUAAAACUUCCCUGUUCUAAACCAUAACAUUUACCAGUGAGCUUAAAAUCUGCCAGGCUCUAUUAAAGUCUGAGGACUGCAAUGAAUAUAACAGUAAAUAUGGCAACUUGCUAGCAUAUAAAGAGAAUAGGAAUUCUAAUGGUUUUGGAGUACUUUAGAAUAAGGGCAUUCUCUGGUUUCAAGAACAUGGAUAUAUGGAGGAAGUAAGAGUGGUAAGAGACAUAUUUCAGAUCUAUAAUUCUAGAUAUUUUUAACUUCCCUCAAAAAGCACUAAGAAAAAACUGCCUCUAUGAAUUAUAUAAUUUGUUUUAUUUGGGGUGGUUUAGGGGAUGUCUGGAAUGGAAUUAGGGAAGAGAGGGUUUCAUCUCCUUACUCUAGUGUUCCUGCACAGGAAUGUCAAGCUGCACAUUUGUGCUGUCACUACCUGGGUACACUAUGCACUGACCACAUGACUCAGCACAGUUCAAAAUUUUGAGCCUCCAAGUCCCUGUCUGUAGAGCUUAGUUCCCAGAGGCCUUGGCCACUGGGUUUCUAUAUAGUUUGGACCUUCUGUGACCUAACCCUCUUACUGACCUAUGGCAGAACAGCUGAUAUCAUGUUAAGCCUUACAAACCUACCAGAGUGAUUCAUUUAAUAUUUGUAAUCUUUGAAAGAUAAGGUUGCUCCACAAAAGGGUUAGAAAAUAACUAUCCCUUUAGUGAUGUUUUAAUGUACAUAUGUAGAGGCCUUUUCUGUCCAAACAAUAUUAUAAUUGCCUGCUGCCUUAUUUUCUUACACUGUCUUCCUAUUUUUGCCCUGUCUGGGCCUCUAAAAGUCAGAAUCACUCUGGAUUAGUUUGCAAACUCUAGUCUUUUCUGAUUGGGCUCAUCUGAAUGGAGCCCUCACCAGAGUCUUUGCAAAUGGCAUUUCCAUUAACAUUUCUAUUUAUGUCCUUUCAGGGCACCUACAGAUUUCCCACCAAGAUUUACAUUUACUAUUUUAAGAAAGUGCUUUUAAAAAGCCAAUGGGUUUGCUAAGUUUAAAUCUGACUUUCUCAAGGGAUGCUUAAAAGAAAUACACAAAGUUUUUUUUAAAGAACCUUUGCAAGUUCAAAAUAACAUUCCAGAAAGAGUCACUAGUAAAACAUUCAGGGGAAGAGAAAGAAAAAUUUUUUGCAUUUGUUGCAGACCUGGUUUCAUCUUAAUGUUUUGUUUGUUUUUCAAUACAGAAAAGUCAAAUAGCCCUAAGUGUCAGAUAAUAAUUGAAAAAAAUGGCCUAGUACUUCUCAUAUCUAGAAUAUUUAUUCCAGAGGGAAGAGCCAAGCCUGUCUGCAUCCAUUAUUCAAUAAGCUAGGUAGAGACAGAGAGACUGACAAAUGGAGGCUCAAAGACAAGGGUCUGGAGAUCUUCUUAGAUCUUACAGAAGCACCAUUAGGGCCUUUCCUAAACUAUGCCAAUUGGAACUUUCCAUUAGGCUGAUGACCCAUGAUCUACUUAUACCAUAGCCCAACUGGAAUGCCUGAUAGACUUGGACAGCUGCCAAAUAGGAAAAUAAGCCAUGGAUAAAUAAGUAUUUCAAUAAAAAUUUAAGAGUUAUAGUGAUUCCUUCAGGCCUGGUAAGAUUCAGACAGACUUCUGCUGGCAUGACAGGGUGGAGAGUAUAUUAGAAUUAGAUUUCAGUGCUAAACAAAAAUACUCUCAUAAUAGUGGUAUAACCCUAAAAAAGUCCAGAGGGAGGCAGCCUAGGGCUGACAUAGUGAGAGCACAGUAUCAUCAGGCACCGAACUCCUAACUUUUUUCUUCUAGCACCUUCAGUAUGUGAAUUUUGUUCUCAAGGUUAUCUCAUGGCCCUAGAUAGCUUAUGAUCUAUUGUGACUAUCAAGAUUCCAUUCGAAGUACUAUGGACCCUCAGUAUCCACAGAAGAUCGGUUCCAGGAUCCUUGCAAAAUCCAUGCGUAUUCACCUCUAUUGUAUAAAAUGGCAUGGUGUUUGCAUAUAACCAAUGUAUAACCUCCCAUACAUGCACUUUGAAUCAUAUCUAGAUUACUUAGAAUACCCAAUAAAAUGGAAAUGCUAUUCAAAUAGUUGUUAUACAGUACUGUUUAGAGACUGACAAGAAAAAGAAAUCUGUACAUGUUCAGUACAGAUGUAAUUUGUUUCUUUCCCAAAUAUUUUUGAUCCAUAGUUGGUUGAAUCCAUGGAUGUAGAACCAGCAGGCAAGGAAGGACAACUAUAGGAGGAAAGGGAACAGGAGGAAAAGUGGUCUCCUUCCUUUUAAAGGGGUUUCCCAGAGGUCCCAUAUGACACUUUCAGUAUCCUCACUGGUGAAAGCUUGACCACAGAAUAAUUACUAGAUGGCCCCAAACCUGAGAGUUGCUGGUUUAUAAAGGUAUCCAGCAGCUUCUUUUACAAAUCAUGAUUGGAGUGAACCUUUUUAUAUCUUUCAAAGGCAUCAGCUUGCCUAAAUUCAUCAUUUUAGACUGCAAAAGCCCUUAUGGAAUUUUGCUCACCAUUGGACUAAAAAGUAAUAUAACAGUUUGAAAAGAAUGCUGCUUUCUAUAAAGUAUAAUAAAGUGUGUAAUCCUCAUAACGGUAAGUAAAAGUGCCUUCAUGUGUUUUCUCCAGAAAUUGGUAAGAAAUUCCAUGCUCUAAGUCUAAUAAUGAUGUAGAGUUCUAAAUUCACUUUAGAAGAAAAAUAAGAAAAUUUUAGCUUUCUAGAGAAUAUAUUCCUACCUUCUGCCUACCUACUACAUUUCAACAUCUAUGGCUAGUAAUAUCAAGUUCUCCAUAAUUCCACCAAGCGAGUUUGAGGAGCACCAACCUGAUUGAAAAGGUUGAGAUUAAGGAAGAGUUGGAAGUGACUAAACUUGUUUUGAAGGGUUCAUUUCCAUAGCAAACCUGCUGUGGUAUAUAUAUACACAUGAUAUAUUCAAAACCUAUUAAAUUCAAGAAAAACUUGCCAAUUUAGUAAUCUCCCCUCUCAUAAUAAGGCAACUUUACUGUGCAAGACAUCCCUGUUUUGGAAGCUUCUUCAAUGUUCAUAAAGAAAUAUUUGCAGAGCAGGUACUACCAACAGGAUCAGACACUAUUUUAUAGGGGGCAGGAGGGAGGGCUGCUUCCUUGAAGUGUUCUCUAGGUUCUAGGAUCUGUACUGGCAAUCCUAAGGAAGUUAUUUGGCUUUAAGCACUUCUUUUCAUUUUAACACAGAAUACUUCAUUAAAUUAAAGGUUCCUUUCACACCAAAAUACAUUAUGAUGAAAAUAAGGAAAUUAUUUGAGAAUAACUGCACUGGUUUUACCUACCAUACUGUCCUCAGUAGGGAGGUUAUUGAUGCAAUUAACAAGAAAGUAUUUCCAUCUUGGCCUUUUCUUUCACCUCUUCUCCCUAAACCAAAAGACACAGAGUAUCAAGUCCAUAUAAGCUUAGGAAUCCCUUGAAAGCUCAUGUCAAGUUGUGUGUAUGCUCAUUAGGUUCUCAGAGAGGUCUGUGUUCCUUAACACUGCUGAUCUGGGUUAGAUAUGGUUUGAGUAUGACCUCAAGAUUCAAGAGUGAGACUAAUCCUUAGUUUGGUGAUGAGGUGGAGUCCCACCUUUAAAAGGCGGAGCUCAUGGGAGGCAGUUAGGUCACUGGGGAACAUCCUCAGAAGGAAUUAAUGCAGUUUUCAUGGGACCUUGGUUAGUUCCUUUAAGAGGGUUGUAAUAAAGAAGUAAAACUAAUUCCUGAAUCCCACUCUUGCCUCCUGUCUCCCCAUGUGAUCUCAUCUGCAAACACUCUCACCACUGUGAUGCCAUCCUCCAUAAGACCCUCACCAGAGUCAAGCAAAAGCUAGCGUCAUGCUCUCAAACUCCAGAACUGUGAGCUAAAUGAACCUCUUUUCUUUACAAAUUAUUCAGUCUCAAGUACAUUGUUAGAACAACUCAUAUAUAUUUGGUAGUUGUUAACAACUAGUAUAACUUCUUCACCAAAGAAAACUCGUCAAAGGCCAAACUUGCAAAGUUGUCUCCUUCCUUGAUAUCUGCCAGGGAACAAGGAAGGAUGUGUUCCAGGUAGAGAUAGCAGCAUUAUCUACCUGAUAAAUUCCUGCUUAGACUUACUACUCUAGUACAAUAUCUGUCAUUUUGGGAAAACUUUCUGACUCUUCUAUGCAGAUAUAUGCUUCUUUACUCAGCUUCUGCC